rnacentral:rRNA from 1 species
AACGAACGCUGGCGGCAGGCUUAACACAUGCAAGUCGAGCGCCUCGCAAGAGGAGCGGCAGACGGGUGAGUAACGCGUGGGAAUCUACCCAUCUCUACGGAACAACUCCGGGAAACUGGAGCUAAUACCGUAUACGUCCUUCGGGAGAAAGAUUUAUCGGAGAUGGAUGAGCCCGCGUUGGAUUAGCUAGUUGGUGGGGUAAUGGCCUACCAAGGCGACGAUCCAUAGCUGGUCUGAGAGGAUGAUCAGCCACACUGGGACUGAGACACGGCCCAGACUCCUACGGGAGGCAGCAGUGGGGAAUAUUGGACAAUGGGCGAAAGCCUGAUCCAGCCAUGCCGCGUGAGUGAUGAAGGCCCUAGGGUUGUAAAGCUCUUUCAACGGUGAAGAUAAUGACGGUAACCGUAGAAGAAGCCCCGGCUAACUUCGUGCCAGCAGCCGCGGUAAUACGAAGGGGGCUAGCGUUGUUCGGAAUUACUGGGCGUAAAGCGCACGUAGGCGGAUUGUUAAGUUAGGGGUGAAAUCCCAGGGCUCAACCCUGGAACUGCCUUUAAUACUGGCAAUCUCGAGUCCGAGAGAGGUGAGUGGAAUUCCGAGUGUAGAGGUGAAAUUCGUAGAUAUUCGGAGGAACACCAGUGGCGAAGGCGGCUCACUGGCUC